UACGGAGGGUGCAAGCGUUAAUCGGAAUCACUGGGCUUAAAGGGUCCGUAGGCGGGACUGCAGGCGUCGAGUGAAAUACCACGGCUCAACCGUGGAACUGCUCGGCGAACCGCAGUUCUUGAGGCGAGUAGAGGCGAUCAGAACGAUAGGUGGAGCGGUGAAAUGCGUAGAUAUCUAUCGGAAUGCCGAAGGUGAAGACAGAUCGCUGGGCUCGUCCUGACGCUGAGGGACGAAAGCGUGGGGAGCAAACAGG
rnacentral:misc_RNA from 1 species